rnacentral:lncRNA from 1 species
CCAUUAUUAGCAACAAUUAAUAAGUAACAAUUAUUAUCUACCAUUAUUAGCAACAAUUAUUAGCUAUCAUUAUUAGUAAUAAUUGUGUUAGAAACGAUUAUUAGACAUAAUUAAUAUUACCAAUUAUUAUCCACCAUUAUUAGAAACAAUUAAUAUUAAUAACAACUAUUAGUUUACCAAUAAUUAUUCAUGCCAACCACAUUCCAAAUUCAUGAAACAAAAACAAAAAAAGGAAACCCU